rnacentral:ncRNA from 1 species
GAAAUGCACCAGGGGUGCCUGUGUCUGCUUCAGUCCUGGCUUUCUUUGGCCAGUAUAUGGGCAGGGUCGGCUGAGAAAGUCCCUUCGAACCUGAACAGGAUAAUGCCUGCGUAGGGAGUGUGCACUUUUGUGUUU